AAAACAAAUACACACUCCUUUAUAUUGAAUACAUUUAUUGCAAGCAAGGUUCUGACACGUGUUUUUAACGUAUUUAUUUUUGUUUGAAAUGUCCACUGUUAAACAGUUGUCUAUUGAAAGAAAUAGGUAGGCUAUGACAGUUUUAGCUUUCUUCAGCAAUUUAUAAACAACACACGCACAUCAAACAAGGUUUCCGAUGUAAAGCUAACAUUCUCAUAUUUUCCUGUCUUAUUGCUUCUUAAGAUAUUUUGACAUUAUAUCUGUUAUACUAUACAAUAAAAGCUGCAGCAUCAGAUGUUUUCACAUGGAAAUCACUCAUCGGUGGUUCUUUUCCCCAUUGGCUUUCAAACAGCUCAGUUGGCCAAUUAACAAAGAACAUUCUUUCUGCCAGUACGCAUUCUGUGUUUGUCGUGGCCUGGCUACAUUUUGGUCGCCUUUACACUGCCAGGUAAAAAUGACCCAAUUCCGAUUUUUUGCUCACAUUUGGCACAGAUCGGAUAAGUAUUAUGGACGUGUAAGCAGGAAAAAGGCACAUGGAAUCAGAUAUUCUCAGAUCCUCAGGCCUCAAUCAUAUGUGAAAAUAAUAUCUGAUAUGAAUCGGAUAUCUGCCAAUGCGACUGUCAUCUAAGCGGACAUAUCGGAUAUUCUCGGUAAUUGCGAUUCGCACGUCAUUGAAAAAGCGACGAUUUUAUACUUUUACGCAUUUUAAUGAUGUACGAUGUUACUUUCACAUGCACAACUGGCUACUCUCCGCUGAAAUAAAACGGCGAAAGUAAAAUAGAGGACGACGGCUGAAUCCAGUGGACACCUGCCGAGGUUACCUGUCUUUUAAGCCUUUGGGGCGAAGAGUUGGUGCAGGCUAAAAUAAAUGGUUUGUACCGAAACAAAUCCGUUUAUGAAGAAAUUUCAGUCACGAUAGGAGAAGCGAGGAUUUAAACGCUCGUGGCUACAGUGUCAGCGCAAAAUCAAGACCUUAAAAUCGAAAUACAAGUAGCCUCGGUCAAAGACCAAAACAGCAAGAGUGGCAGUGGUUGUGCUACAUGUCCCUUCUACGACCAAAUGGAAGUCAUUUUAGGUGACAAACCAAGCUGCCGACCAACUGAGAUACUAGAUAGUUAUCGACAAGAAGCAAGCAUCGUCAGUGACAGUGGACGGGGAAGACACGGAGUGUGAUAACAUUACUGAUGAGCUUCCUGACACACCAGAGACCACCUCAUCUAGUGAGACAACCGCCUCAUCCAGUGUGAGCACCAAAGAGGCGACUUCAAGGGCCUGAACACCAACACCUGGCACACACCAACAGGAGCGUAGUGGAACCGGUGCAUCUACAACACGCAGGAAGCGGAAAAACAAAAUGGAAUCCACAGUGGAGGUGUUUGGCCAGAAGAUUAAAGAAUCCCUCUCCCAGAUGGAUGACACCAAGCUUCAGCUUAAAUUGCAAUCAGCCCAGCACGCCCAUGAGUUAAGGAUGAUGACCCUGUUUACACAGUUCCUUGCAGGAAGACAAUCUCACCAACCUGAGAUGCCACUCCUUCACCUGGGCCAUACCACCCAGUCAAGCUCAUACCCGGAUCAUGUCCACCCUCCUCUGUUUGGUCAAGAUUAUGCCCGCGCUCCACCCUUUCACCAGGAUCAUGUCCGCCCUCCACCCUUUCACCAGGAUCACACACUCCCCAUUCCAAAUGAUGCCCACCCUCUUCCUCCCUUUUACCAGGAUUAUGCUUCUGCUGGUCCCUCUCACCAUUCACACCCUCCAUUCAUUCAAGAGGAUCAUACACACCUCCUUCCUCCCUUUCACCAUGAUACCCAACCUUCACCCUCUCACCAGGCCCACAUCCACUCUCAGCCAAUCAUUCCUGCCCAGCCCAAGCCAAGCAGCCCCCAGCCGCCAUUUGAGGAUGACUAGUCCAAUUAUACUGAUAACAAGAUGAUAGGUAUAAUCCCCCCCCCGCCCCCAUUUUUUCACCUGCCUAAUUCAAUAUUGUUCAGGAUUAAUAUUCAGGCAAUAGUUUAUGUUGGCUACAUUUAAGGUGAGCCCUGUUUUCUCAUGUUAACAUUGUACUGUUGUACACCUUGUAGGUAUGGGUGGGCGAUAUGACCUCUAUCACCUUUAAAAAAAAAUUUUUUAAAUUAAUAUUCAGGCAAUUUAAAGUUCAGAAUAGCCUAGAUUUUUUACAUUAAGUGGGAACACUGGAAGGUGUUAGUGGCCUACAUGCAUUUGAGUUUUCUCCUGUUAACUAGAGGAGUUAUCUUAGCCUAGUCUUCUUGUCGGGUGUUUAUACAACAGUCUUGAAUCAAACCCAGGAAACUGCAAGCACAAAGCAUGCACCCUAGUGUUUGUGCUUCUUGUGUUGCUUUUCAGUUAGUUUUUUGUAUUCGUCAUGGGUUCAAGAUCUGUUCCAUUCAAGUCAUUGAAUACAGUUUAAAUAAAUAAAUAUUCAGCAUGAAGAA